rnacentral:rRNA from 1 species
AUACGUAGGGUGCGAGCGUUGUCCGGAAUUACUGGGCGUAAAGAGCUCGUAGGUGGUUUGUCGCGUCGUCUGUGAAAUUCCGGGGCUUAACUCCGGGCGUGCAGGCGAUACGGGCAUAACUUGAGUACUGUAGGGGAGACUGGAAUUCCUGGUGUAGCGGUGAAAUGCGCAGAUAUCAGGAGGAACACCGGUGGCUAAGGCGGGUCUCUGGGCAGUAACUGACGCUGAGGAGCGAAAGCAUGGGUAGCGAACAGGAUUAGAUACCCUGGUAGUCCAUGCCGUAAACGGUGGGCGCUAGGUGUAGGGGUCUUCCACGACUUCUGUGCCGUAGCUAACGCAUUAAGCGCCCCGCCUGGGGAGUACGGCCGCAAGGCUAAAACUCAAAUGAAUUGACGGGG